CUGCCCGGGAAAUGGCCUGUCUUUCACUCUCCCGGUCUUGCCGUGUGUACGUCUCGAGAAACUUGACUCUUACGUGAGAGCUGGGUUUAAGACGCGCAAGACGAAAACAAAAGUCUUUAAGUCUUUUGAGACACACUCUGAGUUCUAACUCACAGUCACAACU
rnacentral:snoRNA from 1 species